rnacentral:rRNA from 1 species
UUAGGAAUCUUCCACAAUGGGCGAAAGCCUGAUGGAGCGACGCCGCGUGAGGGAUGAAGGCCUUAGGGUUGUAAACCUCUAAAAGAGGGACGAUAAUGACGGUACCUCUUGAAUAGCACCGGCUAACUCCGUGCCAGCAGCCGCGGUAAUACGGAGGGUGCAAGCGUUAUCCGGAAUCACUGGGUGUAAAGGGCGCGUAGGCGGUCUGUUAAGUCCGAUGUUAAAUCCCGGGGCUCAACCCCGGAUAAGCGUUGGAUACUGGCAGGCUAGACGGUUGGAGAGGCGAGUGGAAUUACCAGUGUAGCGGUGGAAUGCGUAGAUACUGGUAGGAACACCCAUUGCGAAGGCAGCUCGCUGGACAACACGUGACGCUGAGGCGCGAAAGUGUGGGG